rnacentral:lncRNA from 1 species
AAAAAAAAAAAAAAGCUUAAGCUAAGCCCAAGCCUCGGCAAGGUUGUUAUUCUAAAAGGGCUAUUUUUAGAAACCUCCCCUGAGGUUUGAUAUAAUUUCACUUAAAUGCCGAGGUUGAUUGUAUUCUCACUUACCUCCCAUGCCGUUAGUAUACAUACAUAUAUAACGUUAGUAUUUGAGGGCAAAAAUGUAAAAGACAAGCUGAAAUUUUAAAAAAAUCAAAUAACAAUUAAAAAAAUAGUUUAAAAUCUAUUGGAUAAUUGUAUUAUCCGAUUACACACAAUAUCCAUUGUGUAAAAGAGUGUUUUUCUCUUUCCCCACCACAAAAAAGCAAUGGAGAUAAACACCAUUUUCACUCACAAUUUUCACUCAACUCCACUCUAUUUUCACUCACAAUUGUUGAUCUUCACCAUUUCUUUUUCUCACAAUUUUCACUCCACUCCCCUACUCUCAUUUGCUGGAACAAAAAGAAAUAAACACCAAGAGCAUAUAUAACCCAUGAAAAAGAAAAACAUGGGUGAUCGGAGAAGGCCACCGACUAGUGACGAUUGACGGCGGCCGGGAUAUGCCACUAGUAUUGGAGUUUGUAAGAGGUUUGUUACUUUAUCAAAGUCUAAAAUUUUAAAAUACCUUUGAUUUUAUUAUUUUUGAAGAUUUUAUAAGUGGUUGUUGUUGGUUGUGUUUGAUUUGUCUUGUUCAUGGGUUGGUGCUGGAAAAAUUGAUUAAAAGGAGAAUGGGUUCAGACAUAUGGGGCUAUGAGUUGAAAAAAAUUAAUUAUUAGUUAUUUUAUAUUUGUGAUUUACACCAUACAUAGUGUAAUAAGACAUAUAAAUCAAAUAAUUUGUUAUUCUUAUGUAAAUGGGUGUGUAAAAUAAAAGUAGUCUUAGCUGUAAUUUUUAUUUUUCUCGCCAAAGUUUGCUAAAGUUGAUCUGUUUAUAAAUUUGCAGUGUUUGUGUGCGUCUGUCGCACAAACACAGUUCCUGCAUUUUCGGGCGACAAGGCAUGUCUCCUGUGCGACAAGCCCUCGUCGCGCGAACAUAGUUUCUAUGUUUUUGGGUGAUAUUGUUGUCGCACGUGCGACGAACUUAUGUCGCCUAAAUUCAGUUUCUGUUUUUUUAGACGACAAAAUUUGUCGCACGGGCGACAACCCAUGUCUCCCAAAAACAUUGUUCUUAUGUUUUGGGCGGCGACAUACUCUUGUCGCACAUACAGACAUUCUAUGUUUUUGGACGACAAGUGAUGUCUCUCAUGCGAUAGUUUUUGUCGCACGGACUCAAUUUCUGUUUUUUAGGCGACAGGCAUAUCACAUAAAAAAUAUUAAAAUGUAUUACUAUUAUCAUUGUUUAUCUUUAUUAUUGUAACUGUUGUUGUUGUUGUUUAGUAAUAUCAUCAUCAUUAUUAUUAUUAUUCGUAAUUAUUACUUUACUUUCACUUAUUAACGUGUGCUUAUUGACAUAUGAUAGGGACAAAAGGCCAGUUGAACCGUCUGUUGUUCCACUAGAACCUGCAGCAGAAAUGGACAAUGUCAUGUAUAAAGUAUAACUUAACUAUCAUACAACACUAUUAGUGUAGUUGUUAUUUUUGUUCUUUUUGUGUAUAUGGGCAACUGUUGGAUGUAUAGGCUAAUGAAAUUUAGUCAAAUUGUGAUUGUCACCAACUGUAAGCUGCGGAAAUGCACAUUUGACUGUUAUUUUAAUGAUGGUGCUAUUCUAUUUAGUGUUAUUUUCCAAUUCAAUUAACUCGUACUAAUUUUUUUCCUCUCUCCACAAAUUAAAAUGUUUUGUCAUUUUUUAUUUGUAUUGCAGGUUUAGUGACAUAAAACUUGAUGGUUUCGAAUUUAAUUAUUUCUUUAAACAAGUAAAAUAUUGGUGAUUUGUUUGGUAGAGACUAAUAUAGUCUAUUGCUGAGAGAACUAAAUUAUAUUUUAGUGGCUUUUUAUUUCACCCUCCAGCCCUACAAGCAUUCUGUAAUUUGGGAGACAGGCACUUGUCGCCCGGGAGACGGCAUUCGUCGAUCAAAAUUACAGAAAUAAGCAUUAUGUAAUUUAGGGAGACAAGCACUUGUCGCCCGGGAGACAUGUUCUGUCUCCCCAAAUUAGUUUGGAUAUUUUAGUCAUUUCACAAGUCAACUAACGGUCAAUCCGUAUGUAUACUAACGGCAGGGUAGGUAAGUGAGAAUACAAUCAAUCUCGCCAUCUAAGUGAAAUUAUAUCAAACCUCAGGGGAGGUUUCUAAAAAUAGCCCUAUUCUAAAAUUUUUAUUUUUGUAAAUACAAUUUUUAUUCUAAAAAUCUCUUAUUUAACUAAAAUCUUAAGAUUUAAUUCAAACAAUAAUGAUAAGGAUUUCAAUAUUUGAGUGUCAACUUGAGUCCCAAUAUUAUAUGCCACUCAUCUAUUAGAUGAUAAACGCAAAAUUAUUUGUUACUGUAUUUUACUAUCUAAUUGACGAAUGCCACAUUAAUUAAGAUUCCAAUGUUGGGAUUCCUAGCAUUACUCUAAUUUAGAAGGCCACCAAAAACAUUAAGCAUUUAACUUUUUUCUUCUUUCCUUAACUAAUAAAAGAUAAUAAUUUUUUUUAAUAAGAAAUUCAAAAAAAUUGAGGCACAGUAAAAGCUCAAUCUAAAUAGUCAAUGGUCAGAUUUUUAUUAUUAUUUUGGUUUGAUUCAACAACGGUUAGGUUUGGCUCAGGAUCGGCCAAUCCUGGCCUAGCCUAGGCCGUUUGCCAUCCUAUUUACAACAUAAAGUUAACAUAAAUACAAUUGGCAAUAACUACCCGACAAUAAUUAGUAAAGUGUUGUAUGUUAAAGGAAAUUCAAAACAAAUGUUGAAAUUUUAUUAUGCACUGAAUGUUAGGUUGUUGGGUUGAAUUGGAUAAGAUUAGAUUUAUUAGAAUUAUUUUUAGUAUACUCCAUAUUUUAUAUAAUAUAUGAUUGACUAGAUCAUGUUUAUAGUUUUAACAUUAAAAAUUUAUAUAUUUUAACAAAAUGCUUAAACAUCGUAUUUAAUUGUAGAACAUAAAAUAUUAGUUUAAUAAAAUAAAAUAUAUAUGGGAUUUCAUAAUUAUAUGAUAAUUUAAUGUGAGAAGAAAUCAAUUACAUAUCCAAACCAAAAUAAACAAAGACCAAACUACAAAUUAAAUUUCUAAUACAAGAUCCCUCAUGUUUGAACUGAGUUUUGGUGGAUUCGAUUAAGACAAAUAAAUUUGUUUAAAAGGCAGUGAAGCUACCUCACUAAGCUUAAGGUAUACUCUUGCAAGGGGAAGGAGGAUGGCUAAGCGAGUUAGGAUGUUAAACGACAGUGGAAACUGGACAAAAAUGCAGAUGAAACCCGCAAGCUCUUAAGCCAUUUCAAACGUGUAAAAUGGAACAAGUUGAGCUCAAAGGUAGAGCCAGUUGUGGUCUGAUGCUCAGGUUAUAUUAUGGACAAUAUGAUGCUAGCCUCAAGAUCCAAGGAACCUUGAAGCUUUGAUAAUGGCGUUAUUAUUUUCAGUUGAAAAAGACAAGUGUAUUUUUUAUGGGUACGCUUAUAAUACAGCCGCUGUAUCUCAUACAGCCGCUUUUUAUUAUUUGUUUAUUUGUGCAUACAACCGGCCACCUAAAGUAACUGUUAUACAAGGAAAUAUAAAAGAAAAUACUAAAGGUAAUUAUCAUCUAUCUACCCUUAUUUCAACCAAAUAUCAAACUAAUCAAAUCAAACUAAAAAGCUACCGAAGACCCCCUCAACUUUGCAUGAAAAUAUACUUUUCUAUUUUUUUAAUAACAUGAAAAUAUACUUAAAAUAUGAGACUCCUAUACUACUGGGAAUAAGAUUUAAGUAUCAGUUAAUAAAAUUGAUUGUAACUAAUUAAAUUAUUUUAAUAUUACAUUAUAAAUUUAACUAUAUUUUACGUAAAAAUUUAUCAUAAUAUUUUAUUAAUUUUUUAUAGUAUAGUGUAGUUUGAAUAUCUAGAUCCAUAAUUAAUCAUAUUUAUUUUCAAAUAAUUGGAACAAUCACUGAAAAGUUAUUUUAGUUCUUAAAAAAUUAACUGCUGUACCGUACAUCCGCCUUGGCCGUACAGCAGAUGAUAGUUGCUAAUAUUAAUAUGUUACUCUAUACCCUAUAACAAAAUAUUUGUAUAUUAGACAAAUAUAAUGUUUCUAAUAUUCUAUAAGUUUAAAUAAUGCUCACAAAUAACCUCUUGUGCAAAUUAAUUCAUGUGAAUAUAUUUAUGAAAUUAAUUACUUUAUUUAUUCGUUUAUCUUUUAUAGUUAUAUUUAUUCACUAUUUUCAAGUCACAACAAUUUCUAUAAAUACUUAAAAUGGACAAUUACAUAUGUACUGUUAAUUUUUGAUCUAUUGCUAUUAGUGGUAUUGUGAUUAAUGAUCUUAUAACAUUAAGCUUUAUUAUGUUGUUACUAGCCAUAAUUGUUAGCCAAUUUAAAUUUGAUUAAACUAAACUUAGUUACGAUACUUAUUAUCAGAAUAUGUAUACAUAAAUGACAUUGUUCUUAUAAUAAUAAUAAUAAUAAUAAUAAUAAUAAAUAAAUAAAAGGAGAUGUUUAGAGUCAUACAUGAGUUUAACUCACCCAUUAGGGUUUAGUAAUAUUAUUAGUAAUAAUUACAAUUCAUAUUCCCAUUGUAUAGUAAAUGUUAGGGAAAACGUCAACAACAAGUCAUGGUUUAGCAAAAUGAUCAUAAAAAGUCCAUCUUAAUCUCAUAAUGAUCGCACACACAUCUUUUUGGACAAUUAUGCCCUUUAAUAUAGUGACUAAAAUAUAUUUCAUUUGGAUAUAAUUGUUCAAAAAAAGAUCUAAAUGGUAAAAAGUAAUUGAGUGACAUAUGUAUUUAGAAUACAAAUUAGGUUAUCAAUAUUGGGAUCCUAUCAUUAUUAUAAAGUAUUAGUAUAAUAAUAUCAAAUUAGUUUAGGACCCAUGGGUGUAGCUAAGUAAUUUUAAAUUGCUUUAUUUUAAUUGGCUACCUAAAUUUGAAUUUUCGGGAGGUAAGGGAUUAAAAAUAAAUAUAAAAUUUUAAAAAAAGUCAUAUUUUUUUCUAAUAAUAUAAGUGAAUGAAUUAUUUUUCAACUAAGCGGGCAAAAUUAGCGCCUAAAUGAAAUAUUUAACAAAUUUUAUUCUAUUUUUAAUAUGUAUCAAAUUGAAUUUUUAUGAUUUUUCACCUAAAGUAUAAAUACUUCAUAUUCUACUAUUUCUUUAGAAACCCUAGCCGCUCUCACAAUAUCUCAGUCCUCACACACUCAAAGCCUCACCGGCCACCAGCCGAGCUGCCAUCGCUAUUCCAACAUGACUAAACUGCUGUCGUAUUGACCAUCGCAAGCAUAGCUACUAGGUUGAUUGGAGCCGAAAAUAGAGACCGCUAGAGCAGCAGGACCCGAUAAUUAUCAAAAUGUAGAAGCAGUUAUGAGUCGUCAAAAGAAAGGGCUCAAAAAGCAUGCAUUCAUCUGUGUUCUUUUGGCCUUGGUUAAUUCAAUUCUAUUGGGUUAUGGUGAGUCUUCAUUCAACACCCUUUUCCUGUUUGCUUUUAAUUUUUACUCUAAAUGUUAAUAUAUAAAUAUUUGGCAUGUAAUUGUAAUCGGAUGGUGGCAUGGUGACGUGAAAUGAAGCUUUUGGGGUGUAGACAUUUGAGUAAUGAGUGGUGCAGUUCUUUUCACAAAAGAAGAUCUUGACGAACGGUAGUCCAAGUAGAGCUUUUGACAAAUUCUUGCAGCAGAUUCACAGUAAAUCUUCUCUCUUCGUUCCUUAUUUUCACAAAUACUUGCAUGUUUAUAUAAGUUUUUAAAUUUCUUUUUAUCUAAUUGGAUAAAUUUGAGAUGAAAUUUCAGUUAAAUGUCAUUGAUUUUUUAAAUUGAAAGUGUUUUACACAGCUGGUUUCUUUGAUUGAUUCCUUCGGUUACUUGUUUACACCACCAAGUUGAGCUAGUUUAUAUGCCUUUAGAUCACAAACUAGCAUACCACAUGAUUUGGUCUUUGAUCCUAAAACCUUGGAUGGGGUCUGGAUUUUGUUUAAUUGUCAAUGUUUCUUGAAUUGUGAUUUCCUAGAGUCUGGCUUUUCAAACUACGAGACUGAAAAGUUAUUUUAGUUCUUAAAAAAUUAAAAAAUAAUAAUAAUCUAAGCCCUAAUCUUUCCUUCCAUAUUCUUUCAUUGCUUAGGGUCUGUGAGUCAUCAGAAUAUGAGGGGAGGCUUUUCAGGGAGAUCUCCGUGCCCUGACGGUCAUUAUUCUCAUUGUAACAGACAAGUGACCUUAUCUUGUUACCUACUUGUUUUACUUUUGGUUUUUGUUUUUUGAUCGAGUAGCAGUGAAUACUUUUUGUGUUUAUUUUCUAAUUUUUUUUCUUUGUAUAACUCUUGGUUUUAUGUUAAAAUGAGUGGUGAGGGGAUAUUGUUGUCAUUGUAUUUGACUCUGUCUUUAGAAAUGUUUUAUUAAGAUUUACUUUUGCUAAUAUCACUUGGGUAAUUCCCUGGAAAUGUUUAUCAAAUGUCAUUACUGCUAGUUUUAUGCUCAUUGGCCAUAGUUCUUAGUCUCUAAUUAGUUUGGAAUAUUAGGAAUCUCUUUUUAUGGCAUAUUUGUCUUUUCUUUUCGUAUAUCCUUGCUCUGUAUUCAGAGCUGGUUGACUUCUCCUAAUGUUAUUUCAAAUUCUCU